rfam:Sharpea azabuensis strain DSM 20406 genome assembly, contig: Ga0059086_1018
GACAAUUGAUAGGGGAGCUAUCUUGCUGAGAAUAGACAUAUGUGUCUUAAACCCUUUGACCUGAUUUGGAUAAUGCCAACGUAGGGAUAACACAUGUUUUUUUAG